ACAGAGUUCAUCCUACGUCUACGGCGAAAUCGCUCAAAAUAUGUCGGUCACUGUGAGUCACCGACAUCAUUGAAAGUAUUUGAUUUCGGUUUAUUUCUUUUUCUCGCCACUGCUCGGAUCUCUCCACUUCCCAAAAUUGUGUUCGUUAUAUGCUACGUGCCAAAGGCGACAAUCUUGAACCAUUUGAUUCGGAGAUAGAACGUACCUUCAGACGAAGACGCAAAAAAUACAAACAAAAACAGCAACAUCAAAUGGCUGACAAUCAACAAAUCCCUAUACCUAUUCAGCCGAUUAGACAAAUGACUGCAAGAGUGGUAGCACCAACGGAACAGCAGUAUGAGAGAGGAAAUAAAUGAAGUAAUAUAUGCACAAGGCCUUUGAUGCUUCCCGGGCAGGAGUUUGUUGUGCUCUUGUUGGGUAAUGACUAAUCUUUAUUAUUCUCCUUUUUGUUUCUUUUUUGUUUAUUGGUCUUUGGACAUAAUUAAUUAGUGGGGAAAUAUCAAGCCACGAUUCAAAUGAAUAACAGAAUCUUUUUUCCUAAAUAACAGAAAGUUACUAUUUCUUGUCUUGCUUAUUUAAACAAAUUGCUAUCUAUCAUUCUUAUAAAUUUUAUGGUCUCGUUAUUUUUACAAAUGGACCUCUUGAUUAUGAUAGUGACUAAAGAAUAUUAAUUCCCAUUGCCACCAUUUAUCUAGUCUAGUUUCUCUACAAAUUGAUCUAUGAUGUCUUGUGGCUAACCUUCGGCUAUGGUUUUGAGUCACAUUGCCAUGGUUUUUAUUUUUCUUUUUAGUUGCCGUUAGUUAAAUAAUGUAGAUGCAUAUUCUUCCAUUACUUGAAAUUGGAUUGGUUCAUGAAGUCCAAGAAGCUGCACAAGUAGCCAUGACUUGGGUAUGUCCAGUUUGCUCUUUUAGCAGUUUUUUUUGUCUUAUUUUACUGGUUUUGUUGUUUACUUGUAAAUUAUGGACAAGAACCAUAAUAAAGAGGAUCUUAUUCAUAAAUUACAAUAGCCAUAUACACUAGGCCAAGUGAAAUGAAAUUGAUGUUUGUCACUUGGCAUUUAUUUUUAAAAAGUACACCAUGAUCAAUUAAUUUUUCUCUUUAUUUUUGGUUCCAGGACUACUCAGUUUCACAGACUAAAAUAAAGCAUAUGGCAUGCAGCAAUCCGAUAUCCGCUGACCAUGUUACAAGCUACAAAUUUGGUCCAAAUGCUUGCUUGCCAACAGGAGAUCACCAUGAUUAUGGGAUGUCUUCAAUAUGUGUCGAAUAUUUUUUAUUAUUUUAGUAAGUUGUUUUUGGAGCAGUAAUCGAUACUUUUGGUAUAUUGAUAUCGAAUUUUUGACUAGCUAAUAAUGUUCUUAGUAAUCAUUUAGAUUAACUCUACAUUUUGGUAUAUUGUAUUUGAUAGCACUUAAUACUUUUAUUCAUUGAAAUUAUGGAA